rnacentral:tRNA from 1 species
AGGUAGCGUAGUUAGUAGCGCGCCGGCUUGUGGUACUAGAGACCCAGGCUCGAUCCUG